AUACGGAGGGUGCAAGCGUUAUUCGGAAUCACUGGGCGUAAAGGACGCGUAGGCGGGUUGGCAAGUCAGAUGUGAAAUCCUACAGCUUAACUGUAGAACUGCAUUUGAAACUGCUAACCUAGAGUAUGGGAGGGGGAGAUGGAAUUAGUGGUGUAGGGGUAAAAUCCGUAGAUAUCACUAGGAAUACCGAAAGCGUAGGCGAUCUCCUGGAACAUAACUGACGCUAAGGCGUGAAAGCGUGGGGAGCAAACAGGAUUAGAAACCCUAGUAGUCC
rnacentral:rRNA from 1 species